UUUUAUGAUGAACAAAGAAAGUGGUUUCCUGAGAUGGAAUCCACUCUCAGUUAAGAUGCUGUGAA
rnacentral:pre_miRNA from 1 species